AUACUUACCUGGCAGGGGAGAUACCAUGAUCACGAAGGUGGUUUUCCUAGGGAGAGGCUUAUGCAUUGCACUCCAGAUGUGCUGACCCCUGCGAUUUCCCCAAAUGUGGGAAACUCAACUGCAUAAUUGGGGGGGGCGGCUCCGUUCACACUUUCCCUUA
ensembl:snRNA U1 U1 spliceosomal RNA